rnacentral:rRNA from 1 species
AGGACGAACGCUGGCGGCGUGCUUAACACAUGCAAGUCGAGCGGAAAGGCCCUUCGGGGUACUCGAGCGGCGAACGGGUGAGUAACACGUGAGUAAUCUGCCCCUAGCUCUGGGAUAGCUCCGGGAAACCGGGAUUAAUACUGGAUACGACCACCUUAGACAUCUUUUGUGGUGGAAAGAUUUCGGCUAGGGAUGAGCUCGCGGCCUAUCAGCUUGGUUGGUGGGUAACGCCUACCAAGGCGACGACGGGUAGC